CUGAAAAACCGCCCGUCCCGAAGCAAAACCCGCCAGGACUUUGCCUCGCAAAAUACGUCUACCCCUAAACAAGAAACAGAUAAAGUCAUUGAUCUGCGUACACCACCGCCGGUUCGCCAACCUCUCUUCCUCCACUCAGCGGUAGCGGGCAUUCAACCUCGCCAGCUGUUUGUAGCACAAACACCUACCUUGCAAAACAACCAAGUCCAAACGGAUGUACCACAAGCAACGAUUCCACCAGCAAACCAUACCCAUCUCACACUGAGCGUUGAAACUUCAGUUCAGACGGUUCAAGACCAGCGGGAGACUACAUCAUACGAAGCAGCCCUCCUGAGGGAAAACGGUGCUGAAGGUGCAGAAAUACAACCCCCUAACGCACCUCAAACUGAUCUGCCAGCAACCUCUUCAGACGCCCCUGAUACGAUCCGGAGAAGACGAUCCUUAAGAAAGAGGAAAAGACCCAGUCUCAUUACACUAAGUUCUACCCUCAAGAUAGUCCAGAGAGUGAUUCCGAAGCUCGAGACAAAAGUGAUUACGAUUCGAAGGCUUGC